GGGUUUCUCAGUGGAUUACUGCAAAGUUUAGCAACACUUGUUUAAAAAUUACAAAACCUCAGCCGAGAAUAAACAAAUUCAUACAAGACUUGUUUAUGAAUCAAGCUGAGCAUACCAGACACCAGUGAUCUUGACAUCCUUUGGAGUCUUGGCACCCAAGUCAGUGUCAGAUGGCUGAAGGCUCUCGAACACACCGAUAACUUCACCGGUCUCCGGCUUGCUCUUUGUGACGCUCAAGGUGAUUUUCCCUGAUGAAGAUGCAGCACUCUUGUUGUUCUCCUUGGCUAGCUCUUCCUCAUCCCCUCUUCCUCCAGCAGGCAAGGCCACUGCAUUAUCGUACCCGGUUGAGCCACCCCUUCCCUUUGGGUCCAAGAAAGAUGAGCCACGGUAGGAUGGUACAAGGAAGUCUCCUCCAAAGCUAUCAGGUUUGCCUGAUGCAACCAAUUGCUUGAUGGUGAACAGGAAAGGCACACGCUCACCACCAGGAAGCUGAACUGUGACGGCAGCAUAAUCAAUCCCAUCUUUCUCCUCGAAUUUGACGGUGCCAUCGGUGGAUACCUCGAAAGGGCCCUCGAUUUCGUCAAGGGUGUAGGUUAAACGGGUCAUGAGCUUGGUGUUUUGGAACUCAGGAGGGGCAUUCUUGUUAACACCCUCAGCCUUGACAGUGA
rnacentral:lncRNA from 1 species